UGGUCAUAUACCAAGGCUCUCGGGACUCCCCAUUCCUGAUCUGCUGUGGAAUUGACCAGAAAACAAAGUCCAUCCCACUGGGCUUCUCCAGCAGCCUGCUGAGAUGACCUGCUGGGAACAAAG
rnacentral:snoRNA from 1 species